rnacentral:rRNA from 1 species
AGAGUUUGAUCCUGGCUCAGGAUGAACGCUGGCGGUCUGCUUAACACAUGCAAGUCGAACGGUUGUAGAAAUACGAUAGUGGCGGACGGGUGAGUAACGCGUGAGAAUCUGCCUUCAGGUCGGGGACAACCACUGGAAACGGUGGCUAAUACCCGAUGUGCGCAACGUGAAAGAUUUAUCGCCUGAAGAGGAGCUCGCGUCUGAUUAGCUAGUUGGUGGGGUAAAAGCUCACCAAGGCGACGAUCAGUAGCUGGUCUGAGAGGAUGAUCAGCCACACUGGGACUGAGACACGGCCCAGACUCCUACGGGAGGCAGCAGUGGGGAAUUUUCCGCAAUGGGCGAAAGCCUGACGGAGCAAGACCGCGUGAGGGAGGAAGGCUCUUGGGUUGUAAACCUCUUUUCUCAGGGAAGAACUUCAUGACGGUACCUGAGGAAUCAGCCUCGGCUAACUCCGUGCCAGCAGCCGCGGUAAUACGGAGGAGGCAAGCGUUAUCCGGAAUUAUUGGGCGUAAAGCGUCCGCAGGUGGCACUUCAAGUCUGUCGUCAAAGACUGGGGCUUAACCCUGGAAAGGCGGUGGAAACUGAAGCGCUAGAGUGUGGUAGGGGUAGAGGGAAUUCCCGGUGUAGCGGUGAAAUGCGUAGAGAUCGGGAAGAACAUCGGUGGCGAAAGCGCUCUACUGGACCACAACUGACACUCAGGGACGAAAGCUAGGGGAGCGAAUGGGAUUAGAUACCCCAGUAGUCCUAGCCGUAAACGAUGGAUACUAGGUGUGGCUCGUAUCGACCCGAGCCGUGCCGUAGCUAACGCGUUAAGUAUCCCGCCUGGGGAGUACGCUCGCAAGAGUGAAACUCAAAGGAAUUGACGG